rnacentral:rRNA from 1 species
AUUGAACGCUGGCGGCAGGCCUAACACAUGCAAGUCGAGCGGUAGAGAGAAGCUUGCUUCUCUUGAGAGCGGCGGACGGGUGAGUAAUGCCUAGGAAUCUGCCUGGUAGUGGGGGAUAACGUUCGGAAACGGACGCUAAUACCGCAUACGUCCUUCGGGAGAAAGCAGGGGACCUUCGGGCCUUGCGCUAUCAGAUGAGCCUAGGUCGGAUUAGCUAGUUGGUGGGGUAAUGGCUCACCAAGGCGACGAUCCGUAACUGGUCUGAGAGGAUGAUCAGUCACACUGGAACUGAGACACGGUCCAGACUCCUACGGGAGGCAGCAGUGGGGAAUAUUGGACAAUGGGCGAAAGCCUGAUCCAGCCAUGCCGCGUGUGUGAAGAAGGUCUUCGGAUUGUAAAGCACUUUAAGUUGGGAGGAAGGGUUGUAGAUUAAUACUCUGCAAUUUUGACGUUACCGACAGAAUAAGCACCGGCUAACUCUGUG